UACGUAGGGUGCAAGCGUUGUCCGGAAUUAUUGGGCGUAAAGAGCUUGUAGGCGGUUUGUCGCGUCUGCUGUGAAAAUCCGGGGCUCAACCCCGGACUUGCAGUGGGUACGGGCAGACUAGAGUGUGGUAGGGGAGACUGGAAUUCCUGGUGUAGCGGUGGAAUGCGCAGAUAUCAGGAGGAACACCGAUGGCGAAGGCAGGUCUCUGGGCCGAUACUGACACUGAGGAGCGAAAGCGUGGGGAGCGAACAGG
rnacentral:rRNA from 1 species